rnacentral:rRNA from 1 species
UACGAAGGGGGCUAGCGUUGCUCGGAAUCACUGGGCGUAAAGCGCACGUAGGCGGCUUCUUAAGUCAGGGGUGAAAUCCUGGAGCUCAACUCCAGAACUGCCUUUGAUACUGGGGAGCUAGAGUCCGGGAGAGGUGAGUGGAACUGCGAGUGUAGAGGUGAAAUGCGUAGAUAUCCGAAGGAACAUCAGUGGCGAAAAGCGGCUUCCUGGACCAGAACUGACGAUCAGGCACGAAAGCGUGGGGAGCAAACAGG